rnacentral:rRNA from 1 species
GACGAACGCUGGCGGCGUGCUUAACACAUGCAAGUCGAACGGAAAGGCCCUGCUUUUGUGGGGUGCUCGAGUGGCGAACGGGUGAGUAACACGUGAGUAACCUGCCCUUGACUUUGGGAUAACUUCAGGAAACUGGGGCUAAUACCGGAUAGGAGCUCCUGCCGCAUGGUGGGGGUUGGAAAGUUUCGGCGGUUGGGGAUGGACUCGCGGCUUAUCAGCUUGUUGUUGGGGUAGUGGCUUACCAAGGCUUUGACGGGUAGCCGGCCUGAGAGGGUGACCGGCCACAUUGGGACUGAGAUACGGCCCAGACUCCUACGGGAGGCAGCAGUGGGGAAUAUUGCACAAUGGGCGGAAGCCUGAUGCAGCAACGCCGCGUGCGGGAUGACGGCCUUCGGGUUGUAAACCGCUUUCGCCUGUGACGAAGCGUGAGUGACGGUAAUGGGUAAAGAAGCACCGGCUAACUACGUG